rnacentral:rRNA from 1 species
AACGAACGCUGGCGGCAUGCCUAACACAUGCAAGUCGAACGAGACCUUCGGGUCUAGUGGCGCACGGGUGCGUACCGCGUGGGAACCUGCCCUUAGGUUCGGAAUAACUCCCCGAAAGGGGUGCUAAUACCGGAUAAUGUCUUCGGACCAAAGAUUUAUCGCCUUUGGAUGGGCCCGCGUUGGAUUAGCUAGUUGGUAGGGUAAAAGCCUACCAAGGCGACGAUCCAUAGCUGGUCUGUGAGGAUGAUCAGCCACACUGGGACUGAGACACGGCCCAGACUCGUACGGGAGGCAGCAGUGGGGAAUAUUGGACAAGGGGCGAAAGCCUGAUACAGCAAUGCCGCGUGAGUGAUGAAGGCCUUAGGGUUGUAAAGCUCUUCUACCCGAGAUGAUAAUGACAGUACCGGGAGAAUAAGCACCGGCUAACUACGUG